rnacentral:rRNA from 1 species
AGAGUUUGACUCCUAGGCUCAGAUUGAACGCUGGCGGCAGGCCUAACACAUGCAAGUCGAACGGUAGCACAGAGAGCUUGCUCUCGGGUGACGAGUGGCGGACGGGUGAGUAAUGUCUGGGAAACUGCCUGAUGGAGGGGGAUAACUACUGGAAACGGUAGCUAAUACCGCAUAAUGUCGCAAGACCAAAGAGGGGGACCUUCGGGCCUCUUACCAUCGGAUGUGCCCAGAUGGGAUUAGCUGGCUGGUGAGGUAAUGGCUCACCAGGGCGACGAUCCCUAGCUGGUCUGAGAGGAUGACCAGCCACACUGGAACUGAGACACGGUCCAGACUCCUACGGGAGGCAGCAGUGGGGAAUAUUGCACAAUGGGCGCAAGCCUGAUGUAGCCAUGCCGCGUGUAUGAAGAAGGCCUUCGGGUUGUAAAGUACUUUCAGCGAGGAGGAAGGUGUUGAGGUUAAUAACCUCAGCAAUUGACGUUACUCGCAGAAGAAGCACCGGCUAACUCCGUGCCAGCAGCCGCGGUAAUACGGAGGGUGCAAGCGUUAAUCGGAAUUACUGGGCGUAAAGCGCACGCAGGCGGUCUGUCAAGUCGGAUGUGAAAUCCCCGGGGCUCAACCUGGGAACUGCAUUCGAAACUGGCAGGCUGGAGUCUUUGUAGAAAGGGGGGGGUAAGAAUUUCCAGG